rnacentral:rRNA from 1 species
UCAUGACAACGGAAUCCCUAGUAAUCGGACCUCAUCACAGUCCGGUGAAUAUGUCCCUGCUCUUUGCACACACCGCCCGUCAAACCAACCGAGUUGGGUCUGGGUGAGACGCAGCUUCGAGUUGCAUCAAAUCCAGAUUCGGUGAGGUGGGUUAAGUCGUCACAAGGUAGCCGUAGGGGAACCUACGGCUGGAUCACCUCCU